GGUUUUCACAGUAACAACAUCCAGUCGAUCCCGGAGCAAGCCUUCAUCGGGAACCCCUCGCUGAUCACCAUAUUUUUCUACGACAACCCGAUCCAGUCUGUUGGACGAUCUGCUUUUCAGGAUCUGCCUGAGCUGCGAACACUCUCUCUGAACGGAGCCGCAGAUCUCACCGAGUUCCCAGAUCUGACGGGAACCAAGAGCCUGGAGAGCCUG